rnacentral:rRNA from 1 species
GAUGAACGCUGGCGGCGUGCCUAAUACAUGCAAGUCGAGCGAACAGACGAGGAUCUUGCUUCUCUGACGUUAGCGGCGGACGGGUGAGUCACACGUGGCUAACCUACCUAUCAGACUGGAAUAACUUCAGGACACCGGAGCUACUACCGGAUACUAUAUUGAACCGCAUGGUUCAAUAGUGAAAGACGGUUUUGCUGUCACUUAUAGCUGGAUCCCCGCCUCAUUAGCUAGUUGGUAAGGUAACGGCUUACCAAGGCGACGAUGCGUAGCCGACCUGAGAGGAUGAUCGGCCACACUGGGAGUGGGACAAGGGCCAGAAGGCUACGGGGGGCAGCAGUAGGGAAUCUUCCGCAAUGGGCGAGAGGCAGACGGGACAACGCGGCGAAAGUGAUGAAGGUCUUCGGGUGGUAAAGCACUGUUAUUAGGGAAGAACAAGUGUGUAAGUAAGGAUGGACGUCAGGACGGUAACUAACCAGAAAGCCACGGGUAACUUCGGGC